rnacentral:rRNA from 1 species
UGGUGCCUACGGGACGCAGCAGUAGGGAAUCUUCCACAAUGGGCGAAAGCCUGAUGGAACAACGCCGCGUGGGUGAAGAAGGUCUUCGGAUCGUAAAACCCUGUUGUUAGAGAAGAAAGUGCGUGAGAGUAACUGUUCACGUUUCGACGGUAUCUAACCAGAAAGCCACGGCUAACUACGUGCCAGCAGCCGCGGUAAUACGUAGGGAGCAAGCGUUAUCCGGAUUUACUGGGUGUAAAGGGCGUGUAGGCGGGCAUGUAAGCCAGAAGUGAAAUCUGGGGGCUUAACCCCCAAACUGCUUUUGG